AGAGGAUCAGCCCCCAGUUUGUCUCGGUACUAGGUACCAUGCAGAUCCAAGCACAACGUUAGAAACCAUCCUGGACCAGGCAGGUCAUCCCCAUUCAUAACUAACUCCUGAACAUUCAACUAAAGACUGGAGAUCACUUUUUUCUGCACAACAAAACAACAGGCAAGGAAAACUGUAUCAGAAAAAUCACAAUGUUAUCACAUUCUGCCAUGGUCAAAGAGAAGAAACAACAAGCAUCAGCCAUUAUGGAUGAAAUACACAGAAAUGUCUCACCCAACCUAGACCUUGGAAGAAAGGUCAGCACUCCCAGAGAUAUCAUGGUAGAGGAACUAUCAACCCUCAGCAACAGAGGCGCAAGACUCUUUAAGAGACGUCAGAGGAGAUCUGACAAAUACACCUAUGAAAAUUAUCACUAUGUAGCAAACAAGCCAAGAAAUCGUGGCGAGCCCAUACCAAGUGUUCAAAUGGAUGGCCUCAGUGUCGAAGGAAUUCCCCAGCACGCCCCAAUGACCCCGCCUAAUACACCUGAUCCCCGGAGCCCACCGCAUCCUGAAAACAUUGCCCCGGGAUAUUCUGGGCCACUGAAAGAAAUCCCUCCUGAAAAGUUCAACACUACUUCUGUGCCAAAGUAUUAUCAGUCUCCCUGGAUAGAGGCCAUUCGAGAUGAUCCAGAGCUCCUGGAGGCUUUAUAUCCUAAACUCUUUAAACCUGAAGCAAAGCCAGAACUGCCUGACUACAGGAGCUUUAACAGAGUUGCUACUCCCUUUGGUGGUUUUGAGAGAGCAUCAAAGCUGGUCAAAUUCAAGGUACCAGAUUUUAAUCUACUGAUGCUAAAUGAUCCCAGAUUCAUGAUCCUCGCAAACCCUCUUGCUGCCAGGAGAUCCUUCAAUAGGACUCCUAAGGGAUGGACAUCCGAGAAUAUUCCUGUAGUGUUCAUUCAGCCUAUGGAUUCCAACACUGUUCCAGAAACAGAUGACCUGUGACAGGAGCUGCUCUCAGUAUCACACCAAUUGCUGAGCUGAACAACCAUGUAUCAUUGUUUCAAAUAUUGCUAGAGGCUACUGACAACAUCUUUCCUUGGUAGUUCAAGUGUAAGUAAUAACUUCUGAUUAUCUCUUUUCUGGCAUCUAAUCUCAUCCAUUGACAUAAUAAAAAUAAAGGAUUUUGGCUU